CUUGGCUUCUUGCGCAAUUCAUUCACGUUUAAAGUAUCACAAUAUAGCCUAUAUUUGUUUUGCCCAACAGUCAUUGUAGUUCAUUUAUCUUUUGUACUGUGCAAUAUUGCCAGCUCAUUAUUAAAAGCACGUUUGUAACAUAAUGUCCACACAAUGACGGAGAAGUGGUUGCUGUCCGGAUUCGCGGAAGAGUGUUGUUUUGUUCGACACAGCAAACCUAUGUGCUUUCACUUUCGUCUAUGUACAAUCUUAACAAGUGCAAUUGCAGCCGGCUCUUCGUGUAUCAAUCUAAAGCGGCAACAUAUCUAAAGUGUUGGUAAUUUGGCAGUUGAUUGUGCGGAUAAAAUUGGGAAAUGUUUGCCAUGGGAAAAUGAGCACACCUGAAUAUUUAACCAUCAAUUUGACUAUAUAGCAUAUCAAGCCUUAUCUAAGCAAUAUACUGUAUUUCAGAAUACGUCUAACAGUAGGUUAAGACUCGCCGCUCUUCGUGCCCAGUCGUGAAUGAGCCGUGUGCAACAAUGGAAUUCACAUCUGACGAGAUGUUAUGGUUGGAAAAAAUUUCAUCGGAGGUCUGUGAAGAUUGUGAACUGUCCCCGCUGGAGAGGAUCCUCCGCGACAUGGCCAAGCCGAAGAAUGAGCUGGAGGAGAAGCUGUUUGAGCUAACGGCCUCCGUCAGGUUUGGCCUGGCCGAGCCGUCCAGCUUCCCGCAGAUUUAUCCACAGCAGUGCUCUAACAGUAUCGCCUCCUUGUCUCGGUGUGGGUAAAAUCGGCACUAAAUGGAAACAAAUUAGAAGUACAUGGAGCCUGCGAACGGGCACCAGGAAUGAAAGUGUCAAAUUUUCUCUUCCUUUUUUAAGAAUGGAUACUUCCGGUCUUCCUUGCUGAUUUUGAACAAUGGACAUUUCUGCAUUCCGCAUUUCUAUAACACAUUGGUUCUCCUGAUCAGGUUAACAUGGAUAUUGCGUCAAUCAAUCACUCAAUCAGUCAGCGAGUCAGUCAGUUCACUGUAAAUACACUCAUCAAAUCUGUAUGUCAUGUCCUACAGCUUAGCUGUAGGUGGAAGAAAAGCAUCCGUGAGCACAUGAAAUGCGGACGCAUUAAUCAGCGCUGAUGAAAACGGAGAGGCUGCGCUACUUCCAGCUACCGGAGAGAAAAUGGUAAACUACUGUCAAGGGGAACAUACCUUUAAUUGUUAUUGCUAAAGUGCCAUGUAAGUGGACAUGAAUUAUAUGAACUGGUGGCUAUCUGCUUUAAGUGCUUAGUUAAAUGUUCAGUUGGGAUCAAUUUGGGAGUUGGUCAGUGUGGUCAAUAAUGUUACAUCAAGAAUUGACUGCUCUGAACUAGACCCCUUGGGCCAUCUUCCGUUGAUGCUAAACAGGCUUUGGAAUUGUUGGGCUGCAGUCUGACGUGGAAACUCAGGGGAUGCAAAAACUUUGCCAGUUUUUUUAACUUUUGCUUCCCAGUACUCCGUUGAAAUGGAAAGUUGUCACUGUCGUUCUACGUCAAGGAGGAAAGGCACCAGCCAGACUGGGAAUUCAGGAAAUGUUGCAAAUCCAGAGCCAUUUCCAGGAAUAUGUCUUGUGUGAAGCUGCUGAAUUUGUUGGAUUCAGGAUUUGAGAAAUGAAGAAAAUGGAAAAUGCUCCUUUUUGCUUAUGGGAAGUUGUUUUUGGCUGCACCAAAUGUUGGCAUAGCAGACAGUGUGUUUAUUUUUAAAUAAGUUUGCUACAAGAGGACAGUGCGUAUGAGUGUGUACAUAAGAAUGUGUGUGUGUAUGUUUGUGUGUGAGAGAGACAGUGUGGACGUGCCUGGAUGUACAAGUGCAUAAAUACAAAAUAAUCAGUUGUGAUCAGGAAAUCAACUGCAUUUGAUUAAUAAAUGAAUGCCUUGCCAUUAA